CUGGUUCGGUCGCUCGCAGGCGAUGCGCGGUAUCGUCGCAUCGACCAGAGAGCAUCC
rnacentral:sRNA from 1 species